GUCUUAACUGUCUCUUGUAGGUAAUCAGUGAAAUUAGUAUUCCCGUGCAAAAACGAGAAUGUGACCAUAAGACGAGAAGACCCUGUGGAACUUAAAAAUAACGACCACUCCUCCACCAACACUAUCCACUGGACCACCCCAUAAAACACUUGGUCGACAUUUUUCGGUUGGGGCGACCUUGGAGAAAAAUAAAUCCUCCAAACCUAUAGACCACAACUCUUCAUUUAGAUCUACCUAUCGAUGUGCUNNNNNNNNANCCAGACCCAAUACAAUUGAUCAAUGAACCAAGCUACCCCAGGGAUAACAGCGCAAUCUCCUCCAAGAGCCCAUAUCGACAAGGAGGUUUACGACCUCGAUGUUGGAUCAGGACAACCUAUUGAAUUCUGGCCUGAACGGGUCUAGAAAUCAAUACNUUAGCUAUCAUUCCCCUCAUCUCCAAAUCUCACCAUCCCCGGGCAAUCGAAGCUACAAUCAAAUAUUUCCUCACCCAAUCAACUGCAUCAGCCNUGAUUUUAUUCUCGAGCCUAACUAAUGCCUGAUCUACAGGACAGUG
rnacentral:rRNA from 1 species